GACGAACGCUGGCGGCGUGCCUAAUACAUGCCAGUAGAACGCUGAAGGAGGAGCUUGCUUCUCUGGAUGAGUUGCGAACGGGUGAGUAACGCGUAGGUAACCUGCCUGGUAGCGGGGGAUAACUAUUGGAAACGAUAGCUAAUACCGCAUAAUAGUAGAUGUUGCAUGACAUUUGCCUAAAGGGUGCAAUUGCAUCACUACCAGAUGGACCUGCGUUGUAUUAGCUAGUUGGUGGGGUAACGGCUCACCAAGGCGACGAUACAUAGCCGACCUGAGAGGGUGAUCGACCACACUGGGACUGAGACACGGCCCAGACUCCUACGGGAGGCAGCAGUAGGGAAUCUUCGGCAAUGGACGGAAGUCUGACCGAGCAACGCCGCGUGAGUGAAGAAGGGUUUCGGAUCGGAAAGCUCUGUUGUAAGAGAAGAACGAGUGUGAGAGUGGAAAGUUCACACUGUGACGGUAUCUUACCAGAAAGGGACGGCUAACUACGUG
rnacentral:rRNA from 1 species